UUCCAGGUCUUCUGAAUCCAUAUGAUAGGUGUGUGUAAAAGAUAGACACACCUGUACACACACACACACACACACACACACACACACACACACACACACACACAUAUAUAUAUAUAGUACACACUAGUUAGUUAGUUAAUUAGUAAAUAGUAAAAAUAGAAAAGUAAGUAAUUUUAGGUUUAAGGUUGUUUGUUUGUUUGUUUGUUUUUACUAAAGAAAGUGAGACAGGUUGGCGCAACAUGAGAGUGAAUGAUGAUAGAAUUUUCAUUUUAAGGUGAACUCUCAUUAAAACAUGCAUUCAAUGAAAAGGGUAAUUAAAGUACAGUUUGCAUUUUGUUAAAUUGUACAGGCAAUUAGUUAAUCCUUAAAUGUUUAUUAUCUUAGUAUUUUGUACCAGAAUUGUUAUUGUUGGAAUCUUAGCACUCAGGAAAAAAAAAAAUACUGACAACCAGAGGGAUCCCCCCCCCCCCCCAUAAAAUACACAAAAUGUUGUAACAUUUGUACUGAACAAUGUGCAGUUAAAUUGAUAACACAGCAAAUAAUUUUUGUUUGUGUGUAGCUCACAGCGGGCAGUUUACUUUCCAGCUCGCUUAUUUGGUACAACACAUCUGUCACGAGAUCUCUUGGGUAUGUCCUCAGUUCUGAAUCAACUUUUUGAUGAAUUCUUAAUAUUUUCACUCUGACAAUAACACUUACUCUUUAUGAGAAUGAGUCCUACAUGAAAAAUCUUAUCCAAAACAUCCAGAAAACACCAGAGACUUCAAAGGCUGACAAUGAUAACAGGAAGAUCUGGGAAGAGGAACACCAGAUAUCACACAGUUCUACAGCAAUGGGAAACAAUGGUCUAUAUCCAUGCUCACAGGAUUGGUUGCUCAAGUCUCCUGUCCUAUCUUCCUCAGUCAAGGAGAGCCUUUGAAGAUGAAACAACUGCAUUCCGAGUCCCAGUCUCCCUCCCUGGAGACAUGCUUUCCAAAAGGCUACAGCCACAGCACAGAGCCAGCCUUGACAUUUGCAUAAAUCCAUCAGCGUCACCACGACAGCACUGA
rnacentral:lncRNA from 1 species